GAGCAUAGCUCAGUUGGGAGAGCAUCUGCCUUACAAGCAGAGGGUCAUAGGUUCGAGCCCUGUUGUUCCC
rnacentral:tRNA from 3 species